UGUUCACAGAGCAGUCAUUCAUAAUAGCCCCAGAGCAGAAGACAACGCAUGCCCGUCGGGUCUUGGCCGGACAAACUAAGGUGAUCUAUCUUCACGAUGGGGUAUCACUUGGCCACGAGGCAGGAAGGAGGUGCUGACUCCUGCUACAAGCCAGGAAGACUGAGGCCCAGACACUGAGUUGCCCAAGGCCAUUCAGCAGUCCACCGUGUUGUCUCACUGGAUCCUGACACUGCUGCCUCAGGCUGUGCCAUUGAUGAUUUGACAUGUAUGCAGAUCACCAGAGUGUGUGGUCCUGUGGUUGGCGCCCCCAAGAACCCUGAGCUCCCUGGCUGAGAGGCCCGAGGCUGGGGUUCUCAGCUCCGUGAAUCAGAAAUCGCGUGGACGGGGCGGGGGAACCGGUUGAGACCAACAUGAAGCAGCCCCGCUCCAGAACGCCCUCCUAGCCGACGUCUUUGAGCGGGUGCUGGGCUCACAGGGCGGCACAGAUCGCCCAUCACACAGAUGUGCCCUGAAGCCUAUGUCACCCCGUUAACCAAUG